GACGAACGCUGGCGGCGUGCUUAACACAUGCAAGUCGAACGGAAAGGCCCUGCUUUUGUGGGGUGCUCGAGUGGCGAACGGGUGAGUAACACGUGAGUAACCUGCCCUUGUCUUUGGGAUAACUUCAGGAAACUGGGGCUAAUACCGGAUAGGAGCUCCUGCUGCAUGGUGGGGGUUGGAAAGUUUCGGCUGUUGGGGAUGGACGCGCGGCUUAUCAGCUUGUUGGUGGGGUAGUGGCUUACCAAGGCUUUGACGGGUAGCCGGCCUGAGAGGGUGACCGGCCACAUUGGGACUGAGAUACGGCCCAGACUCCUACGGGAGGCAGCAGUGGGGAAUAUUGCACAAUGGGCGGAAGCCUGAUGCAGCAACGCCGCGUGCGGGAUGACGGCCUUCGGGUUGUAAACCGCUUUCGCCUGUGACGAAGCGUGAGUGACGGUAAUGGGUAAAGAAGCACCGGCUAACUACGUG
rnacentral:rRNA from 1 species